AGCGAACGCUGGCGGCAGGCCUAACACAUGCAAGUCGAACGGAUCCUUCGGGAUUAGUGGCGGACGGGUGAGUAACACGUGGGAACGUGCCCUUUGGUUCGGAACAACUCAGGGAAAUUUGAGCUAAUACCGGAUGUGCCCUUCGGGGGAAAGAUUUAUCGCCAUUGGAGCGGCCCGCGUCUGUUUAGCUAGUUGGUGAGGUAACGGCCCACCAAGGCGACGAUCAGUAGCUGGUCUGAGAGGAAGAUCAGCCACACUGGGACUGAGACACGGCCCAGACUCCUACGGGAGGCAGCAGUGGGGAAUCUUGCGCAAUGGGCGAAAGCCUGACGCAGCCAUGCCGCGUGAAUGAUGAAGGUCUUAGGAUUGUAAAAUUCUUUCAGCGGGGACGAUAAUGACGGUACCCGCAGAAGAAGCUCCGGCUAACUUCGUG
rnacentral:rRNA from 1 species